rnacentral:lncRNA from 1 species
CAUUUCUCUUUUUCUUUCUACACUUUUUAUUUUAUAUAUUAUUUUUUAUUUUAAGUUUAGUAAUUAACAUAAAUUCUAAUUUUACAUUAUCAUUUGUUAUUUAGUAAUUAAUUUUAGUUUCUCUAGUCAUUUUUAAUCUUAGUAUCAUUUGAUGAUUAUACUAGUAUUAAAUUUUAGAGUUAAAUUGAUUAAUUCAAAAUUAGAGACUAAAAUGAACUUUUUUUUUACAAAAAGACUAAAACCCUUGGUCCAACACCAAUUGGAC